rnacentral:misc_RNA from 1 species
GUGAAUCAUCAAAUUUUUGAACGCAAAUUGCACUCUCUUCGGAGAGUAUGCCUGUUUGAGGGUCAGUAUUAAUAAAAAUCGGUGUGUUGCUUCUUUGUGACGCUCCGGAGUUUGGGUCAUCUAAUUAUCCUUUAGUUUUUAAGAGCUUUAAAUUUGAUUUUUUUUGGGCUUUUAAGUUUUCAAUAAUUUUUUUUUUUUAUUGUUUUUCUUUAUUCUCCAAAAUCUAUUUAAAUCCAC